rnacentral:RNase_P_RNA from 1 species
ACAGCAAAUCGGUUUGUCGCGCUAUUUUUCAGUAAUGGCGAGGAAAGUCCGGGCAUCACAGAGCGCCAUAUUUCCUAACGGGAAGCCGUCAGCAAUGGCGGAGCAGUGUAACAGAAAAUAACCGCCAAUCCACAAAAUUGGACCGGUAAGGGUGAAAAGGCGGGGUAAAAGCCCACCGAUGCUUGUGGCAACACAGGCAGUCGUACAUCUUAUGGGAUGCAAUAUCAAGUAUAUCGGCGUAUGUAGGGUGGCUCGCCCGAUGCCGAGGGGUAGAUAGCACGAGACGCAAGGCGACUUGCGCCCCAGAUAAAUGACAAACGCUUCGAUUAGUCGGAGUACAGAACCCGGCUUACAGAUUUGCUGUUUUU